rnacentral:rRNA from 1 species
ACUCAAAGGAAUAGACGGGAGCCCGCACAAGCAGUGGAGUAUGUUGAUUAAUUCGAAGCAACGCGAAGAACCUUACCAGGUCUUGACAUCCACGGAAUCUGGCGUAAUGGCCGGAGUGCCCUUAAGUGGGAGCCGUGAGACAGGUAGUGCAUGGUUGUCGUCAGCUCGUGUCGUGAGAUGUUGGGUUAAGUCCCGCAACGAGCGCAACCCUUACGGAUAGUUGCUAGCGUAGAGAUACGAAGCACUCUAUUCGGACUGCCGUUGACAAAACGGAGGAAGGUGGGGAUGAUGUCAAAUCAUCAUGCUCUUUAUGAUCUGGGCCUCAAACGUACUACAAUGGCGCGAACAGAGGGGAGCGAAGGCGCGAGCCGGAGCAAAUCCCAAAAACGCGUCCCAGUUCAGAUUGCAGGCUGCAACUCGCCUGCAUGAAGUCGGAAUUGCUAGUAAUCGCGGAUCAGCAUGCCGCGGUGAAUACGUUCCCGGGCUUUGCACACACCGCCCGU